rnacentral:lncRNA from 1 species
UGUGAUUAGGUUAUCACGACCAACUAGAUUGACAACAUUUACAAAAGAAGGAAGAAGCAGGAUUUCCUCAAGCUUGACAACCUGCCACAAUAGUAAAUAUAAAAUUAGCAAUUCUUAAAAAGCAAAUAAUAAAUUUGAAUGUAAAACAAAGUAUAGAUCACAAGCAAGAUAAGUUGAUGCCAACAGACUCUAUUGUUUCAAAGGUGAGUUUCCUAUAAAAUCUGUUUGGUGUGUGUGAGGUACAUAUAUCAACGCAUGUUUGGUUUCUAUAACUACAGAUUUUUAUUCCUAUGAAUGAUGAGGGAGCACAUUGGUUUUUGGUGGUUGUUGAUUUUAGUGAAAGAAAAGUUUUUUGGUUGGACUCUUUACCUACAGAUGAAAGAUAUCAUCANNNNNNNNNNNNNNNNNNNNNNNNNNNNNNNAUCCUGCUUCUUCCUUCUUUUGUAAAUGUUGUCAAUCUAGUUGGUCGUGAUAACCUAAUCACAAACUUCACAAAGAUUGAACCUACGUGCCUCCCGCAUCAGCGACCUAGAUCGUAAGUAUUAUUAACCCCGAUCUUUAUUUAUUAUUUAUUUAUUAUUUUACUUAAACUACCUUUUAGUGUGAUACUAAUGCAGUUUUAUGAAUAAUCAUAGGAAUGAUUGUGGAGUGUGGGUUGCUAAAUGNNNNNNNNNNNNNNNNNNNNNNNNNNNNNNNNNNNNNNNNNCUAUGAAAGCAUAACUGUAAGUUGAAUUAAUGUCAUCAUUAUUUGUAAAAUAUUUCCCAUAUAAGUAAAUUUCUAAUUUUCCAAACUGUUUUUUCAUUAUAUGUAGGUUGUCACUGCCACAAGGCUCAAGCUUGCUCUUUAUCUUUGUCAUUCAUCUAAUAAUAAGUUGUUACAAUCACUGUUGGCAAAGUCUGCACAGUAUUGGGCUGAUAUGGAAAAGAAAAGGAAGGCUUUGGUUAAAGUGUGGAGUUUGAAGUUAGGUUCUAAGAUGGUUAAAGGCUUCGAAUAUGGGAUAAUGUGGUUUCUUUUCUCUGUUUUGUUUUCGGAUAAUCUGGUUUGUUUUCCCCGUUUUUUUGUUGGAUAAUCUGGUUUCUUUUCCCUGUUUUUUUGGAUAAUGUUACCUUAAACAGUGGGUUGUAUUUUGCCCAUUAUGAUCAGACAGCAAUGUUGUUUGUCUUAAGCUGUUAGUUUGGAAAAUUUUACAUUUAUUUGGUUUAUUCUAUGUUUGUCUUAAGUUGUCUUAUAUAUAUAUAUGUUACAUACACACCAAAUACAGAUAACAUUGUUGAUGUCUACUAUAAACGUACCUCAGCUAUGAUAUGACUAAGUAAAACUGAUUUUAUCAUUCACCUUCUCCUUUUUCACAUUUUGAACUUCAUCUCUAAUCACCAUGCUGCAUGCAUAUUCAUCUAACCUGUUUCAAAUUGCAAUAAAACUGAACUUAACAAUUAGCAUCUUGUCAAAAAAGAAAAACAAUUAACAUCNNNNNNNNNNNNNNNNNNNNNNNNNNNNACAUUUAGUAUUGUAACAAAAUUUGGUAUUGGAAAUCGACACUUUUCAUGUAUUCCUCAAAUCUAUUUAAAAAUUGGAUAUUGAAUAUCAAAAUUUUCUGAGGUUCAGAGAUAAAAUCAAAAUGUUGGAACAUGCAUGUUGAAUGAUUCUGGCAAGAGAAUCCUGCAUCCACACAAGGUCAGCGUUUUUCAUACUCUUGAAUUUACUUCUGUCACACUCCAAAGUCAUUAUUUUUUAUGGUUUUUAACUUUCAAAAAAAGAGUUAUGAAUUUGGGAUAAAGACUCAAUCACAACAAUAUUGCAAAUGCAGACAUUAUUCACAAAUUUUCAAUUCAAGACUAGUGUCUAAAUGCAGAAGUAGAAAAAAAAAACGAGCGAAGUACACAGAAGUACACAGAUUAGAGUGAUUUAUUACUUUUCCAACCCAAAAGAAAUGCAAGAUGUUUGCUCAGGCAUGCCUAGUAUAUGUGCCCUCUAUAAAUACAUAGCAACAUCCAAUGCUGAAUGAAAAGAUUUAUAAAUGCUAGAAACGGGCCAAGCCUAUUUAGCUCCAAAUAGAGAGUUUCUUUAUGAAAUUUUAUCUUGACAAAUACUAAGUACUAACAAUAUAAUAUAUUUUCUAGCUUAGCUACAACACUUGAAUUCAUGAAAGAANNNNNNNNNNNNNNNNNNNNNNNNNNNNNNNNNNNUCAUCAACUAUCCUCCAUCUGCAAUAUUCAUCAACAAUAAUCAAAUUAUAGCUUAUCUUAACAGGAUCAAAGUCAAAGACUCAAAAUCAUAUUUUGCCACAUACCUCUCGAGCAAAAAUUCCCCUUCCUUAAAAUUUUCACUUUUCUCAUGUGCUAUGACCUGAAAGAAUCCAAAAUUAUUACUUCAAACUGCAUUGAGCUCAUCAAAAGGUGAUGCUGAUAUACUUGGAGAUGAGACUAAACAGGAUAUUAAAUAAAUCCAGAGUUUCAUGGAAUGCAUCAACUAAAUUAACUUCUCAUGGAACAGGAAACAAUUUCUUUAAACUGGAUAUUAAAUAAAUCCAGAGUUUCAUGGAAUGCAUCAACUAAAUUAAGUGUUUAAUAUGGUUUAAUGGAUAAAAUUCCCCAUAUCUGAGGUAAUAUAUAUCUACAGAUAUCAUAUUUUGAAUUUCUGAUUUACCUACAUAUUCAAUCAAAUCGAUAGCUAAUUUUAACUUUCAAGACUGACCACCAAAAUUAAUGAUGUCAAUGAACUAUCUCCUAUAUAAAAAAUAAAAAUAAAAAUACUUGUGGAACUUACAGAUUAAAUUCCAAUUUCUUUAAAAACCAAAGAAAAAUUGAAGAGUAUGCAUUUCAGAAUUUGAGGUUUAAUUUUCAUUGUUAUUCAUUGGACUACAACAACCAAAGCCUUUUCCAACUAGAUGGAGUUGAUUGCAUGAAUCAAAAAAACAUGAUUAAGUUCUCUUAUUAUAAAGCAAUUCCAUAAAUCAAGCUAAUCCAUCAUGUCACAGAAACACUGAGGUCCGUUAAACUUUCCUAAAAAUCUCAAUAUCUUAUAUCAAUAACACAGGAGAAAGGGGCAAAGUUCUCUUAUAUCUAUCAUGCAUACUCUUACUAAAUUGUCUGAAGCACAAUACUUUUUUUUUUAGAAACAGCAAAAAAUUUAUUCAAAAGAGGCACUUGAGUACAAGAGAUACACAAGGAGCACAAGGCAGGAGCCAAAAAGAGCCCACCUGAAAAACAAAAGCAACACCAACAAGGCAAAAAAACUCCACCCAAAACAAAAGCAAAAACCAGAAACUACGGAGGAAUAAAAAGAGACCAAGAAAACUCCAGUAGCAGCAACACAACCUCAGCCACACACCAUGGAACAAAAGAUGAAUACAAGAAGACUCACCAUGGAACACGAGGAAAAGAAUGAACAGAUUGGGAGGGAUAAUAACAUCCAAAUUCAGCCACACACCAACCUCCCUCCACACUUUCUGAGCAAAAUUACAGUGGAGCAAAAGAUGAAUACAAGACUCAGCUUUAUCCACACACCACAAACAGUCUUGAUUACCAGCAAGAUGCAACAGCCUUCUCCUNNNNNNNNNNNNNNNNNNNNNNNNNNNNNNNNAGAUCUAUAUGAAAGUGUGAUAAUAAACAUGGAUAAUAAAGGAGAAAGGGGCAAGGAACAAAGAAUAUAAACAAAUGUUUCAAAUAAACUUACACUUUGCUGAAAAGGUAUGCCCUCCCUCGACCGCAGGAGUGAAAUUUGUUGGAACGAAGCUUGAGGGCAGGAGUUAAGGUUGAACGAAUUCGAAAAAACGUUGGAAUGAAGAAGAUGAAUUCGUCGUUGUUCAUUACGUGGCGGGUGGAGCACUCUAGGCGGCGGGUUACCAGNNNNNGACAACUUCUUUCUCCCUUGCCUUGCUUGCUCCAUUUUCCUUUUUCUAAUUAAAAGUAGCAAGUCACGUUGGUGGAUUGCUUGAUAGCAUAGAUGGAAUUUGACAAGAAGAUGGAAUUAAGCUUAAAUUUGUCCUGGGUUGAUACAGAUAUUGAGAAAUUGAUACAUAUAUUGAGAUGGUUUUUUAAUUUGGGAUUUAGGGUUUUCUUGAUGCUACAUAGAAAAUGGAUGUUAUCACAUAUUAUUUAGGGAUUUAUGCAUGAUUUUUUUUAAUUGAAAUAUUGAUGGUUUUUUUUAGGGAUGAUUUUUUUUAAUUGAAAUAAAUUAUUUUUUUUGUUUGUAAUUUGUAAAUGAAUAUUUACUUGAUGGGGGACUCAUAUGCAAUAAAUAAAAGUUUGUUAAAAAA